CAGGCCCAAGUUCCCUCAUGCGCCUGUCCAGGCCUGCCCAAUCCGUGGCCACCUCCUCAGCUGGUCCUGCAGAGGCUCCAACCCUGUUGGGGCUGCAUAUCCCCUGUUCGUGCUGCCCGCCCGCUGGCUAAUUCUGAUUAUUUCUCCUUCUCCUUGCUCUCUUGGGCGCCUUUAUUCCUGAUCGUGCAUUUUCUCUGGACUCAGGAUUAAAAAAACCCACGCUGCUAAUAUCCUUGUCAGCCUUUUCCUGAAUCAUUGCUGUGCAGCUCCAAGGAGCCACGGGCCAGUGCCUUCCGACUGACAGACUCCGUCCCUGGGCCUUCCUGUCCUUGGGGUCCUGGAGCUCUCUGUCUGGGCCUCCUUGGCCACUGAAGCAACACCCAGAGGCCAGCAUCCUCUAAGAAAUGCCAGCCAGGGUUGCAGAUGGAGCCAAGAAUUGAAAAUCUGGCCGAGUCUUUCCAUCUCACAGAUGAGCAAGCUGAACCUCAGAGGGCUUAGUGAUGUGCUUGAGGCACAGCUACCAAGGAUCAAUGACUGAGCCUCAAAACCACCUCUUCUGAGAGUACUGCUUUCUUACCUGAGGAUGGCCCAUCAGGGUGAUCUGGAAGGCAGAAGAUGGGAGUUUUUCUGUGAACUCACUGUGGUGGGGGUGGUCCUUGGAAAAGUACUGAGUACACAGAAGUGGCGACGGGCAAAUGGAGAUCCUGGAAAAGGAGGUUUUCUACCAAAAUAUCCUUGUGAACAUGAGGACAGCUUCGAAACUGAGAAAGAGUGGGCUCGAGAAAGCUCUAAUGCUUCUUUCCCUGACACGAAGUGCUUCGUGCAGUGUUUGGCAUCAACAUGUCGGAGCCGUGGCAACGUUCUCCGUGCAUCCCCGCUUGGGCGUCAUUUUAGACAUAUAUUCACAGACAUGUGUACAUCUUUAUGCCCACACAUAAGGGUAGCAGCAGCCUUGCUUCAGAGGCCACACCUUCCAGGAAACCCUUCAGCCUGCCGUGUCUUAGCUGAUCCCUCUGCCAUCCCCUUGCAGAAGGAGCUUGGAGUCUCUCAGCUCAGCUGGACUAGAUGAAUCUUCUCAGGGUCGUCUUCUCCCACCUCUGGCUCCCAGUUCCUUCCCCCAAUCUCUCCCUCCCUGCUCUGUGAGAUCAGCGAAGCUGCAAACCCAACCCUUACAUCAAAAGGGAACUUGAAAAAUACUUGGAGCAAAAACUGCUAACUGUGCAUCCUUGCUGUAUGCUGGCGCUGAUAUUAAAUCAGGAAAUGGCACUGAACAGCCGCUCCGAACACAGAAACAGGGGUUGUCAACACAGCAACCAAAAGCAAUCUCUAACGGGCAGAGGUGAAAGGGACCUGGCACGGGGCCGGGAGGGGGGCUGCAACCCAGGAAAGAAUUCCUGAGCUGAGUGUGUCUGUGCCACCUCUCCAGUGUCCAGAAUGAAGCCUGGAUCUCUGUCCCUGGCAUGGAAUGCACCUUGUCUCCAUGAGGGAUGAAAGAUAAUUAAGCAUGUUGCUUAAAUACCUUUGAAAUUCUCCUUUUUAUUUCCAUACAUGUUUACCGAGCACCUACUAUGUGCCUGACAGUCCAAUAAAAAAGAUGCCUUCCCAUGUGGAGAUGACCUUCUAGCCCUCAGGACAGAACUCUGACCCUUUGACAUGGCAUUCAAGGUCCUUCGAGUGUUGGCUCCUGCGGAAGCUUUCAUCUCUGUUUCCAGCCUCCCUGAAAUAGCUCCCCAAGGGCACGAGGCAGUACCUUUGCUCCAUGCCUUUGCUUGGACUAGUCCUACCACCAGCUCUUCCUGCAUUUCUGUGUUUGGCAAAUUUCUGCUCAGCCUCCAAAGCCUUAACCAAGUGUCACCUUUUCUCUGCAGCAUUUUCUGCCACCCUCCCCAUUUCUUCUAAUAGAACCAGGGAUCAUUUACUUGGGAUCCAGCAGCACUGUGGACAUACUGCCAUCACAACACCUUUCAUGUCACAAUGGCAAGGUUUGCACUGUCUUGGAGGAGAGGAAAGAAGCCAUAUUCAUCCCCGAACCCUAAUCUCCCAGCACUGGUUGUAAAACUGAAACAAAAAUGAAAAACCUUGAUGAAAUUCGUUGUUGGUGUGGCUAUGGGGAAACAGAUUUUCCAUUUCUGAUAGUAAAUGAAAUAGGUACCA